GUGCUCGCUUUGGCAGUACAUAUACUAAAAUUGGAAUGAUACAGAGAAGAUUAGCAUGGCCCCUGUACAAAGGAGACAGUUAACAUUUAUACAUGUGAGUCUGAUCU
ensembl:snRNA U6 U6 spliceosomal RNA